GCCUACGGCCAUACCACCCUGAAAGCGCCCGAUCUCGUCUGAUCUCGAAAGCUAAGCAGGGAUGGGCUUGGUUAGUACCUGGAUGGGAGACCGCCUGGGAAUACCAGGUGUUGUAGGCU
rnacentral:rRNA from 1 species